rnacentral:rRNA from 1 species
CCUACGGGAGGCAGCAGUGGGGAAUAUUGGGCAAUGGAGGAAACUCUGACCCAGCGACGCCGCGUGCGGGAUGAAGGCCUUCGGGUUGUAAACCGCUUUCAGUAGGGAAGAAGCGAAAGUGACGGUACCUACAGAAGAAGCACCGGCUAACUAUGUGCCAGCAGCCGCGGUAAUACAUAGGGUGCAAGCGUUGUCCGGAAUUAUUGGGCGUAAAGAGCUCGUAGGUGGUUCGUCACGUCGGAUGUGAAAAUCUGGGGCUCAACCCCAGACCUGCAUUCGAUACGGGCGAUCUAGAGUGUGGUAGGGGAGACUGGAAUUCCUGGUGUAGCGGUGGAAUGCGCAGAUAUCAGGAGGAACACCAAUGGCGAAGGCAGGUCUCUGGGCCAUUACUGACACUGAGGAGCGAAAGCGUGGGGAGCGAACAGGAUUAGAUACCCUGGUAGUCCACGCCGUAAACGGUGGGCACUAGUUGUGGGAACCUUCCACGGUUUCUGCGACGCAGCUAACGCAUUAAGUGUCCCGCCUGGGGAGUACGNUCGNAAGAUUAAACUCGAAAGGUAAUUGACGG